UGGAGUAGUCUUGUGUGUUAACGUAACGUGGGUUCUGCAGCAUUUUUCUUGUCUUGUUCUCAGACCGAAGCGUGUCCUGCCUGCACGCGUGUCAGGCUCAGAGGCGCACGGUGGUGUCUGUGCACGGGCUGCCAGGGAAGGCCUUGGUGCCCCUGCUGGACCACAGACACGUGCUCUGUGUGUGGGACAUCCGGCAGCCGUCGGGACCCCAGAAGGUCCUGGUAUGCGAGUCAAAGGUCACGUGCUGCUGCUUCAGCCCUGUGAAAGCCUUCCUGCUGUUUGCGGGGACCGUGCACGGCUCGGUAGUUGUGUGGGACCUGAGGGAGGACCCCAGGAUCCAUCUCCACGUGACGCUGAGCAGGCGCUCCUGGACACUCAGGACCCCCACCUUCUCCACCGAAGGUACGUGACCUUCACUUCCGUAAAUCUGAGCUCCAGUGGUGAGACGUGGUUUCUGGUUACGAGCCGGUCCUUCCCCACUUGUGCCCUCACCAGAGACGGCAGGCCUGUCCUUCCACGUCGCUUCCUUGGACGAAAGCGGGCUUCUUAA
rnacentral:lncRNA from 1 species